ensembl:lncRNA
CUACUUUUCAACUUUGCCUUUCCUCCUUGAGAAUCUACUGAACUAGAAAUGUGUCCUGCUCACAGACUGCGGCUUACCAGAGCCUUUGACUCCUCAGGGGUGGAGCAAAUGAUUUCCUUCUUGGACAAGGGCAAUCUGUGGCCAGUGUACAAGAGUUGCCAUGGCAACCCUGCAGCUGCGCUCUGCCUAGCAGAGACUCGGAUACGGUAAAACAGUAAAUGCAAAUCAUGGAUGAAAUUUAUAAGAUCGCUUCCACAGAAAGGAUCCAGCAGUUAGAAAAAGAAUUGGCUUUGCAACUGACUGCACUAAAGUCUGAGAUAGAAGAACAGGAGACUCAUCAAGCUUACAGCUCUAUUCGAAUGCCCAAGGACAUUUCUUACUUUCGAAGAGAAAGGGAAUUGGCUCUAAAGAAAACUUUACAGGUGGCUGAGUCAAAGCCCCUUGUUGUUCAAGCAGAUGUCAUGCAGAGGGAGCUAGAGAGCUGCCUAAGAAGAGAGUACACUCCUGAAAAUUUACCUUUGCUUCUGUUGCAGUCCCUCCAGUAUUUGCCCAUCUCCAAAGUGCUGAGUGUAGCUAUUGAUGAAUUUCCUGAGGCUUGUCAGGAGAAUGAAAAUGUAUGUGUUGAUGACAUCGACCCUAAUAUCCAGAGUUCUGGAUCUCUAGACCCUGUGGAUACUAGCAUUUCAGGGCUGACAAGAACAGAAGCUGCUUUCUCCCUGCCCCAACACAUGACUGAAAGAGAAGGACUGAAACCCCAGCUGAGGCUCCUGCUCUCCCAUUUUAAUAUCCCAUAUGACGUGGAAGAGCUAAGGGAUGCUACUAAGGAAAUGGAACUCUUUAACCUGGUACUUGAUGGACUCUUUCUUAAUACGAAGAUAGGUGUUCGUGAAAGAAAACACUACUGUUUGCCACAAAGUUGGAUAUUUAUGCUGCCUCAAUUGUUUCUAGAGUGAUAAAAUUUAAUUGUAAUAGGUGAGAUUUAGAUUAGCACUUGAACUUCCCCUCUGUAAGAGUACUGGGUCUCUUGAAUAUACAACACAGAGGGAUCACAGGAUUUAUUUUUCUGUAGAAUUUGAAGAAAGAGUAGUUUAUAGUCCAUAGUAGAUGGUAUAAAAGUAGCCAAGACUUGGAAGAUAAUGGAGAAGACAACUAGAUAAUGGAGUUGUCUAGUGUCUUGAGCCCUUCGAUUCUCGGAAUGUGUUGUAGUAGCUCUCCUAUUGGCAAAAAUUCUUUAAAUUCAAUAGAGUUUUAUAUUAUGUAGUGAUUUUUUAAAGUCAUGCAGUCUGCUGAACUAUAACACAGUGUUGCACUUCCUUUAAAAAAAACUCGUAUUAAUAGAAACCAUGUUAAAACUCAUUUCAAAGGGAAAAAUAAAAUUAUGUAUGGAUAGCUUUAAAUUUAGAAUAUAAAGUUUUCAGCCAAAGCAUCAACAAUAAAGAUAUUACUUUAGGUCUGGGCGUGGAAUUUUGCAAGCAUAUGUAUUCGCUAGGGAAAAAUAGUAAAUUGAUUGAUCCAAACAGGCAAAACUAAAAUCUGAAUGUGUUUGAAUGCUCUUUGUGUAAGAAGGAGCCACUGUCCUCCCUGUCACCAUUUGCCAUGACAUUCAACUUUCACUUCCAUGUGUGCUUGUUCCAGCAUGAUUUUACUAGGAUUAUUUCUACUAAUAUGUAACAUGGUCUCUUUAUGCUUCCUGAAACCGGUGGUAUCACAUGUCCUCUGGUUUCUUUGAAGGUGAUGAUGUUUCAGCUCUUGCCUUUCUUUGCAGCAGAGCACUUCUAGGGAGUACCUUACCCUCAUUGUCAGCAAGCAUUGUGAUAAACAAAAACUGGAAUUGGAAUAAGACGGUGUUUUUAAAAGAGUCAAAAUAAACAAAAAUAAAUGAUAACACAGUAGCUAUCAUCAAUGAUAACAAACAAACAAACCAACCAACCCAUGAAGCUGCUGAGCAAACUUGUUCCAAAAGAACAGCUUGUUUCCUUUACAUAGCAAUACUUUCCACUUCUGAUUAUUUUGAACGUUUUUUUAAAUUUAUUUUUGAGAGAGACCAAGUGUGAGCAGGGGAGGGGCAGAGAAAGAGAGAGACAGAAUCUGAAGUAGGUUCCAGGCUCUGAGCUGUCAGCACAGAGCCAGAUGCGGGGCCUUAAACUCGUGAACCACAAGAUGAUGACCUGAGCUGAAGUCAGAUGCUUAACCGACUGAGCCACCCAGGCUCCCCCUCCACUUCUGAUUUUCUUGUAACAGUGUUAUGUGCAGUGCUUGUGCUCACAAGAUAAUCAAUCACAUUACAACAAUUUUUUGUGUGUGUAGGAAGAGUUCUUAUAUUUGGGUACUGUUUAUUCUGGUUCUCUAAUUCCUUAGAGCAGAGUCAGCAAAUGACAGCUGCAGGCCACCACCUGUUUUGUUUUCUUUUUUAAUAAAGUUUUAUUGGA